UUUGAUUAAUUUUCGUUCUAGUUUUGAUUUUGGUUUCAGGAGCCCGCCUGAAGAAUAGUGUGAUGAAAAGUCAGGAGCCCGCCUGAAGAACAGGGUAAUAAAAUUGAAGGUUAGGAGUCCGCCUGAAGAACAGAGGGAUGAAAUUGAAAGUUGAUGAAACUGAAAGUCAGAAUCUCGCCUGAAGAGCAGGGCAAAUAAGUUGAAAGUCAACAGAUUGAAAAAUAGCAAGUCAGGAGCCCACCUGGAGAACAGGGUGAAGAAACUGAAAAUAGUCAACAAGUUGAAGAAAUUGCAAGUUAGGAGCCCGCCUGAAGAAUAGGGUGAUGAAACUCAAGUCAAGAGUUCAAAAGAAGCUGCAUAGAUAGGACUUUUGUAAUUUUAUUUAUCUUUUUAACUCUUGUAAUUUUUCAUUUUUGAUGUAAUGACAGAGCCGC
rnacentral:lncRNA from 1 species